UGGGGAAUAUUGGGCAAUGGGCGAAAGCCUGACCCAGCAACGCCGCGUGAAGGAAGAAGGCCCUCGGGUUGUAAACUUCUUUUAUCAGGGACGAAACAAAUGACGGUACCUGAUGAAUAAGCCACGGCUAACUACGUGCCAGCAGCCGCGGUAAUACGUAGGUGGCAAGCGUUAUCCGGAUUUACUGGGUGUAAAGGGCGUGUAGGCGGGCCUGCAAGUCAGGUGUGAAAUUCCAGGGCUCAACCCUGGAACUGCACUUGAAACUGUGGGUCUUGAGUGAUGGAGAGGCAGGCGGAAUUCCGUGUGUAGCGGUGAAAUGCGUAGAUAUACGGAGGAACACCAGUGGCGAAGGCGGCCUGCUGGACAUUAACUGACGCUGAGGCGCGAAAGCGUGGGGAGCAAACAGG
rnacentral:rRNA from 1 species